rnacentral:rRNA from 1 species
UACGUAGGUGGCAAGCGUUGUCCGGAUUUACUGGGUGUAAAGGGCGUGUAGCCGGGCUUACAAGUCAGAUGUGAAAUCCGGGGGCUCAACCCCCGAACUGCAUUUGAAACUGUAGGUCUUGAGUAUCGGAGAGGCAGGCGGAACUCCUAGUGUAGCGGUGAAAUGCGUAGAUAUUAGGAGGAACACCAGUGGCGAAGGCGGCCUGCUGGACGACAACUGACGGUGAGGCGCGAAAGCGUGGGGAGCAAACAGG